CCUACGGGUGGCAGCAGUGAGGAAUAUUGGUCAAUGGGCGAGAGCCUGAACCAGCCAAGUCGCGUGAAGGAUGACGGCCCUACGGGUUGUAAACUUCUUUUGUCAGGGGGAAAUUGGGUCCACGCGUGGGCUUAGCGAGAGUACCUGAAGAAAAAGCAUCGUCUAACUCGGUGCCAGCAGCCGCGGUAAUACGGAGGAUGCGAGCGUUAUCCGGAUUUAUUGGGUUAAAGGGGUGCGUAGGCGGAAUAUCAAGUCAGCGGUAAAAAUUCGGGGCUAAACCCCGACGUGCCGUUGAAACUGAUGUUCUUGAGUGGUCUAGAGGUAUGCUGAAUGCGUGGUGUAGCGGUGAAAUGCGUAGAGAUCUCGCAGAACUCCGAUUGCGAAGGCAGCCUACCGGCGCCCAACUGACGCUGAAGUACGAAAGCGUGGGUAUCGAACAGGAUUAGAUACCCUAGUAGUC
rnacentral:rRNA from 1 species